rnacentral:rRNA from 1 species
UUAAGUCCCGCAACGAGCGCAACCCCUACGUUUAGUUGCUAACGCGUGAAGGCGAGCACUCUAGACGAACUGCCGUUGACAAAACGGAGGAAGGUGGGGAUGACGUCAAAUCAUCAUGCCCCUUAUGUUCUGGGCUACACACGCGCUACAAUGGCCGGUACAGACGGACGCAAAGCCGCGAGGUGGAGCAAAUCCUAAAAAGCCGGUCUCAGUUCGGAUUGCAGGCUGCAAUUCGCCUGCAUGAAGUCGGAAUCGCUAGUAAUCGCAGGUCAGCAUACUGCGGUGAAUACGUUCCCGGGCCUU